CCUACGGGAGGCAGCAGUGGGGAAUAUUGCACAAUGGGGGAAACUCUGAUGCAGCGCCGCCGCGUGAGUGAAGAAGUAUUUCGGUAUGUAAAGCUCUAUCAGCAGGGAAGAAGCAAGACGGUACCUGACUAAGAAGCCCCGGCUAACUACGUGCCAGCAGCCGCGGUAAUAGGUAGGGGGCAAGCGUUAUCCGGACUUACUGGGUGUAAAGGGAGCGUAGACGGUAUGGCAAGUCUGAAGUGAAAGCCCAGGGCUUAACCCUGGGACUGCUUUGGAAACUGUUAGACUAGAGUGCUGGAGAGGUAAGUGGAAUUCCUAGUGUAGCGGUGAAAUGCGUAGAUAUUAGGAGGAACACCAGUGGCGAAGGCGGCUUACUGGACAGUAACUGACGUUGAGGCUCGAAAGCGUGGGGAGCAAACAGGAUUAGAUACCCCUGUAGUC
rnacentral:rRNA from 1 species